AAAAGGUUAUAUGCUUUGUACUGAGACAUAUAGAGAGAAAUCUGCCAUGUAACUUGCUUAAUUACGUUGCUGAACUCACAUUUCAGAUAUAUAGAUGACAUAGGUACAAAGUAAGCAACAGAUCAAUGGAGUAAGGGUCUCCUUUGUUCUGCAUGAUAACUAUAUGUGCGUUUGUAUGUAUUUUAUUAGUGAUGGAAUACAAUCUAAUCACAAACUGUAGGACCGUCAUAAGUGGACAUGCUGUAGCUACAUCUCUCUGCUGUCAUUAAAAACCAGACUUCAGCUUACAAGUAGUAUUUCUGUAUUGUAACCUGUGGAUUCUCAUAAGUCCGGCUCAACACUCAAAGGACAG